GGGCAGUUACCCAAGUGGUCAACGGGAGCAGACUGUAAAUCUGCUGCGCUUGCGCUUCGGAGGUUCGAAUCCUUCACUGCCCA
rnacentral:tRNA from 1 species